rnacentral:lncRNA from 1 species
AUUUGACUAUGCAUGCAAACUUCAAAAGAAAGCAUCCCAUAUGAGGUUCAACCACAUUUUCUUCCCCGUACACGUCAUGAAGUGUUUGAGAAGUCAUGAAAAUCCAAAAAAUUUACAAUGGUUGUUCCUCCCCGACCAUUAACACGACAAUUACAAGACUAUUAAAAUCAAAAGAUUAAAUUUCAUACAAAUUGUUUUUAAAAAAUAAAAAAAUUAGACAAGGAUGAAAAAAAAUACAAGAAAAAAGAAAAGCAAAAAAA